UGGACAGAUUAUUGUAUUCGACUGUAUUCACGUCGUGAAAUAGGAGAUUACACUGUUUUUAAAACGAAAAGUGAAUCAUAAUAGACUCCU
rnacentral:pre_miRNA from 1 species